rnacentral:rRNA from 1 species
AUGGCCGCCGCCGCCACCGCCGUCCGCUUCCACACGGCCGCCGCGCGACGCGCCGCCCCUCGCCGACCGGCGCGCUUCGCCGUGCGCGCGGAUGCCGCGCAGGCGGCGACGGCGCUGACGCAGGAUGACCUCAAGAGGCUUGCGGCGGUGCGUGCGGUGGAGCAGGUGCAGAGUGGUAUGGUUCUGGGGCUCGGGACAGGCUCCACGGCCGCCUUUGCCGUCGCCGAGAUCGGUGCGCUUCUUGCCAACGGGAAGCUCUCCGGCAUCGUCGGUGUGCCCACUUCCAAGCGCACCUUUGAGCAGGCCAUGUCCCUGGGAAUCCCUCUUUCCACGCUCGACGACCACCCCGUGAUCGACCUCGCCAUUGACGGCGCUGACGAGGUUGAUCCAGAUCUUAACCUUGUGAAAGGGCGGGGUGGAGCCCUUCUCCGGGAGAAGAUGGUCGAAGCUGCAUCAGGAAAGUUUGUUGUUGUCGUUGAUGAGACGAAACUAGUUACUGGCCUAGGAGGGAGCGGUCUUGCCAUGCCUGUGGAAGUUGUGCAGUUCUGCUGGAAGUACAAUCAAGUAAGACUGCAGGGUCUGUUCAAUGAAGAAGGUUGCGAGGCAAAGCUGAGAUUGAAUGAGGAUGACAAGCCCUAUGUUACUGACAACUCGAACUACAUCGUAGAUUUAUACUUCAAGACGCCAAUCAAGGAUGCGUUGGGCGCGGGCAAGGAGAUUGCAACUUUGGAAGGAGUUGUUGAGCAUGGGUUGUUCUUGAACAUGGCAAGCUCAGUGAUCAUUGCUGGAUCAGACGGUGUCAGUGUCAAAACAAAGUGA